AGUGCUAAAACGUAACUAGCUCAUCGUAGUAGCUGUAACUGCCGUCUCCGCAACCUCAAACUGAGUUCACGUGAUUUGUUGAAGGUUCGGCUACAAAUUCUUUUAAUCAAAGAUUUUCCUCCUCCACCCCCCUCUCUCUCUCUCUCUCUCUUUCACCUUUUCCAUAUGUCGCUCAUUUCAGCUUUAAUCCCUACAUAGCACCUUUCCUUUCUCUCGCUAUCACCCUCCACCCUUCUCCACAUUUCUCUCCUCCGCCUCGCACCUCCGCCUUACACCACUUCCCUCACCUCUCCUCCCUCAAUGAGGCGCCCUCCUCCCCCUCCUCUAACCCAAUAACCUUCCCCUGCUGCUCUUCCAGCAACAGCCCCUCCACCAUCUCCUCCAUCACCAGCUCCAUCGUCCGCCGCCCCCACGUCUCUGGCUGCUCGCCCCCCGCGGCGAGCCCUCGUCUCGGGGCCCCGCCGUGUACAGGAUGCUCCCUCCGUGAGAGUGGUGUCUCUGCAGGCUAAUUGAAGUCGACCACAGGGCUCUGCUAAUGAUCAGCCGACAGCGAGCCGUGACGGUCUGUCAUCGUCCUGUCUGCAGCUCUGCGUGGUAUUUAGAGAGAUCGCAGAGAGAAUGACAGAGAACACACCAGAACAACCUUAACGGCGCUCGAGCUCACCAGGACUGCGUUCGUGAAACCUUAACCUACAUCAUCACUGAUGAAGGAACAGUUAACGAGUUGAUAAUCUUACUUGUGAAAUUAUCAAACAUGAUGGAAAUAAUUAUUUUUGACAACCUGAUUGAACAUUCGUCUAACGUUCAUGUAACAUUACCAGGAGACGUCGCUGAACGGUCUGUCAGCUUCACGCUCAGCACUCGCCGCCGUCUUCUCCCCGUUAUUUCUCUGAGUGAAAGGAGCUUCAUCCCAAAGUGAAGAGCAUAAUUUAGCUCGCUCUAAUGACACCACCUAUUCAACAGGCUCCUCCAUAAUUGUUGGACCAGAGCCGAAAGGAAGGAGAAUAAUAGUUCUGAAACUCUCUUCCGAGUGUAUCUCCGUGACCCAAGUCCUCCAGGAAGACGAGAUAACUGGAGCCACCGAGUUACGUGAACUAUCAGGAGCCCAUUAUUUCUUAAUAUGCUUUUUUUUAAGUGAAAAUUAGAAGCAGGCUGGACGUGGAGAUGAUUCCUAAUGUGUCAUUUUGUGCAUGUGCUGGUGGAGGUUCAUGGGUUUAACCAGGCAGCGUGUCCUCCAAUGUUCCUCGGCUAAUACGUGUAACUCAGUGGCUCAUACUGGACGUUAAUGAGUGCUGAGAAGGGCACGCGUCGCUGGGUGGAGGGAGUACUUAUAGAGGGAAAGAAAGGCGAGCAGUGCUGGUCUAAUGAACUCAUAGCUCGCUCGUACGCUGUCACUCUCCUGCUCAGCACUGUGACCCGGACAAUGCAGCCACAUUGUUGGCCCGGCAUUGUGCGCGCUAACCCAGGCAGCCGGCGUCCUCCUGUAGAGAAUCAAUGGCUCCUGUAACUUAAACUUGGUUGGCGGUGCCGGCCCAGCGAAGGCAGCUGUCAUUCUGAGUAUUGUUUGCUCUGACAGCAGCCUCUGAUGAGGCCUUUGUAAAGAGAGACUGCAGACACGACGUGCUGCAAUGUGGAGGCUGCACAAGUUCAACCAGCAACAUGGGAAAGAUUUGUGUAUUAAAGCUGCAGCAGCUAAAAGAGCAGUCAGGUUAGGGAGUGUAUACAAAUGAUUUGGGAGCUGAGGGAGGGUCAGAAAUACCGACACUGGGCUUAUGUGACUGAGACGACUAUUGGUGAGUAUUCAAAAGUUAUUUAUUAUUCAGAAAAUAGAAAGUAGCUGGAAUACUGCUUGAGUUUAGCAAUAUUGAGGCAUGCAUUGCUAAGGUAAAGUUUACCCUUGACUGUAAUAUUGCCAUUGCCAUGCAACAAUAACCAGCUAAUUAAACAUAAAAUCAAAAGGUACGCUCAGGUUCACAUUUUGGAGCCAUUCACUCUCAAAAUAAAUCUUUUUGUAUGCUUGUGUUAUCUCCGUUUCCAUGGAGAUACACAUGGUCUGACUAAUAACUGGAAAACGGUCACGUCAGUAGAGAAGUAGUCCGAGCCUUAGUAACAACCUGCAACAGAAACGAUCUCUAGUCCCAGAAAACUAACGUUAAACCUCCAAAACUGAAUAAAUACCACACAUAUAAACACUAAACUGAAUAAAUACCACACAUAUAAACACUA